rnacentral:rRNA from 1 species
GUUAGGAAUAUUGGACAAUGGGCGCAAGCCUGAUCCAGCCAUGCCGCGUGAGUGAUGAAGGCCUUCGGGUUGUAAAGCUCUUUAGUCGAUGAUUAUAAUGACUGUAGUCGGAAAAUAAGCCCCGGCUAACUUCGUGCCAGCAGCCGCGGUAAUACGAAGGGGGCGAGCGUUAUUCGGAAUCACUGGGCGUAAAGCGUGCGUAGGCGGCUUUGCAAGUUGGGAGUGAAAGCCCAGGGCUCAACCCUGGAAUUGCUCUCAAAACUGCAAGGCUCGAAUUCGGGAGAGGAUAGCGGAAUUGUCAGUGUAGCAGUGAAAUGCGUAGAUAUUGACAGGAACACCAGUGGCGUAAGCGGCUAUCUGGACCGAUAUUGACGCUGAGGCACGAAAGCGUGGGGAUCAAACAGGAUUAGAUACCCCGGUAGUCC